rnacentral:rRNA from 1 species
AUGAACGCUGGCGGCGUGCCUAAUACAUGCAAGUCGAACGCACUUCGGUUUUUGAUUGAUGGUGCUUGCACCAGAUUGACGAGACAUUGAAGUGAGUGGCGAACGGGUGAGUAACACGUGGGUAACCUGCCCUAAAGUGGGGGAUAACAUUUGAAAACAGAUGCUAAUACCGCAUAACAACGAAAACCACAUGGUUUUCGCUUGAAAGAUGGUUUCGGCUAUCACUUUAGGAUGGACCCGCGGUGCAUUAGCUAGUUGGUGAGAUAAUAGCCCACCAAGGCGAUGAUACGUAGCCGACCCUGAGAGGGUAAUCGGCCACAUUGGGACUGAGACACGGCCCAGACUCCUACGGGAGC